AUCUAGCUGAUGGGUUUCAAAUAGGACGAAACAUGUGUCCUGGAU
rnacentral:hammerhead_ribozyme from 1 species